rnacentral:rRNA from 1 species
CGCUGGCGGCGUGCUUAACACAUGCAAGUCGAACGAACCUUCGGGUUAGUGGCGGACGGGUGAGUAACGCGUGAGAAUCUGCCCUCAGGAGGGGGAUAACGGUUGGAAACGACCGCUAAUACCCCAUAUGCCGAUAGGUGAAAUGAAUUUCGCCUGAGGAUGAGCUCGCGUCUGAUUAGCUUGUUGGUGAGGUAAUGGCUCACCAAGGCUUCGAUCAGUAGCUGGUCUGAGAGGAUGAUCAGCCACACUGGGACUGAGACACGGCCCAGACUCCUACGGGAGGCAGCAGUGGGGAAUUUUCCGCAAUGGGCGAAAGCCUGACGGAGCAACGCCGCGUGAGGGACGAAGGCCUCUGGGCUGUAAACCUCUUUUCUCAAGGAAGAAGAUAUGACGGUACUUGAGGAAUAAGCCACGGCUAAUUCCGUGCCAGCAGCCGCGGUAAUACGGGAGUGGCAAGCGUUAUCCGGAAUUAUUGGGCGUAAAGCGUCCGCAGGCGGCCUUUCAAGUCUGCUGUUAAAGCGUGGAGCUUAACUCCAUCAUGGCAGUGGAAACUGAAUGGCUUGAGUAUGGUAGGGGCAGAGGGAAUUCCCGGUGUAGCGGUGAAAUGCGUAGAUAUCGGGAAGAACACCAGUGGCGAAGGCGCUCUGCUGGGCCAUUACUGACGCUCAUGGACGAAAGCCAGGGGAGCGAAAGGGAUUAGAUACCCCUGUAGUCCUGGCCGUAAACGAUGAACACUAGGUGUCGGGGGAAUCGACCCCUUCGGUGUCGUAGCUAACGCGUUAAGUGUUCCGCCUGGGGAGUACGCACGCAAGUGUGAAACUCAAAGGAAUUGACGGGGGCCCGCACAAGCGGUGGAGUAUGUGGUUUAAUUCGAUGCAACGCGAAGAACCUUACCAGGGUUUGACAUCCUGAGAACCUCUUAGAAAUUUGAGGGUGCCUUCGGGAAUUCAGUGACAGGUGGUGCAUGGCUGUCGUCAGCUCGUGUCGUGAGAUGUUGGGUUAAGUCCCGCAACGAGCGCAACCCACGUUUUUAGUUGCCAGCAUUUAGUUGGGCACUCUAGAAAGACCGCCGGUGAUAAACCGGAGGAAGGUGUGGAUGACGUCAAGUCAUCAUGCCCCUUACACCCUGGGCUACACACGUACCACAAUGCUACGGACAAAGGGCAGCAAACUCGCGAGAGCUAGCAAAUCCCAUAAACCGUGGCUCAGUUCAGAUCGUAGGCUGCAACUCGCCUACGUGAAGUAGGAAUCGCUAGUAAUCGCAGGUCAGCAUACUGCGGUGAAUACGUUCCCGGGCCUUGUACACACCGCCCGUCACACCAUGGAAGUUGGCCAUGCCCGAAGUCGUUACUCCAACCCUUGUGGAGGAGGACGCCGAAGGUGGGGCUAAUGACUGGGGUGAAGUCGUAACAAGGUAGCCGUACCGGAAGGUGCGGCUGGAUCACCU